GGUAUGACCUACGAGAAUCCCACGGACAACCUUGUGUGGCCAACGUCCGUUCCUUUUGGCUGGUCCGUGGAGUGGGACCCGUCCCCGGCCGGCAGUGACCCUCCGGAGUAACACCAGGCCCUGGGCUAAGCUUGGUGUUCGCCUUCGCGACGUGUGUAGCCGCGUAAAACUUUUUCAUCCGCUGUGAGUUUAGACAAGCUGUUACGCUUGUCAGUUUGUACAUGGUUUGUAUAAAUUUACUUAUCUUUGAACUCGGUUUGUAAUAAUGUAUAUAUGGUUGUAAAUUAAAAGUUGA
rnacentral:lncRNA from 1 species